rnacentral:rRNA from 1 species
ACUUUCAACAACGGAUCUCUUGGCUCUCGCACCGAUGAAGAACGCAGCGAAAUGCGAUAAGUAAUGUGAAUUGCAGAAUUCAGUGAAUCAUCGAAUCUUUGAACGCACCUUGCGCUCCUUGGUAUUCCGAGGAGCAUGCCUGUUUGAGUGUCA